rnacentral:lncRNA from 1 species
UUUGAUAACAUAGAGAGAGAGAAAGAAGUAGCAGAUGACUAUUUAGGGAUUUUGUUUUUUUUCAUUAGUAGUGGGCCGGUUUAGUGUCUUCUUUAAGUGGUCCUGUGCUACAAAAUUUUAAAUUUAGCUGUGAGUUUUCAAAAGAAAUACAUAUGGGUUUCUAAAGAAUUAGCAGUUAGUGGUGUGACAAUUAAGAGAGUUUGAAAGUCAAACUUGAAUCAUUUUAACUUGAAAUCCAUACAUUCCACCUACGAAGUUUUUUUUUUUUUUAAUUUGGGCACUUUUGUGAUUUAAAUUUGAAAUCCACACAUUGACACAUUUGUUUUGAUUUUUGAUGUUGGGUUUUUUACAUCUUUUUCCCAGUCGAUGAUGAUAAGUUCAAUUUAUCUGAGACACUUACCGAGUUGUGAUUUUUGGGUGCGUUUGUUUUGUCGUAAAACGUAAACUUUUUAACGUAAAGCGUAAAACGUAAACUUUUUAACGUAAAGCAUAAAACGUAAACUUUUUAACGUAAAGCGUAAAAUGUAAAUAACGAUCAAACGUGGUCAACUCAAGACCGGAUAACAACUUAAACAUAGCGAGUUGUUAUUAUUAGGCUAGUUAGAUUAGUUUACACGGUUUUUUAGAUUUUAUUAUAGUUAUACGCGACCGAGCUCGACAAUAUUCGU